rnacentral:rRNA from 1 species
UACGGGGGGGGCAAGCGUUGUUCGGAAUUACUGGGCGUAAAGGGCUCGUAGGCGGCCAACUAAGUCAGACGUGAAAUCCCUCGGCUUAACCGGGGAACUGCGUCUGAUACUGGAUGGCUCGAGUUUUGGGAGAGGGAUGCGGAAUUCCAGGUGUAGCGGUGAAAUGCGUAGAUAUCUGGAGGAACACCGGUGGCGAAGGCGGCAUCCUGGACCAACACUGACACUGAGGAGCGAAAGCCAGGGGAGCAAACGGG